AUAAAAUCAGGAGGUGUACAGAUAAAAAUUAUAAAAACAAAUAUGAAAGAAUCGCAGGUCCUACGCGUUUCGUCCUUAUACACAAGGACUUCCUCAGGGACCUCUUUCAAUUAAAUAAAAUAACAAUCCAAAGUACAAAACCAAAAGGCAUCCUAAAAACGCUACCAAACAAACAAUCUUAUAUAGGGCUAAUCCCUUCAAGUCAUUGGUGGAAUAGUGGGUGUCUUCUUUCUUCUA